CCAUGCAAAUUAUAGUUUGUUUACUCAGAAAAACUUGAUUUCUCCAGUGAUAUUUCUGUAAGUCCAGUUUAUAAGCAAUAUCCUAAGAAGCGAGGAAAUGAGAAAAGGGGAUUCAACAUCACUGGAACAUUCCAGCAACAUCACUGGAAACUAAGCUGGGGUACAGGUCAGAGGCACGAGAGGAUGAGAGGAUUCACCAGAGACAGAGUGGAGAGCAGAACAGACAGACCAAAAGCACUGCUGAGGAGAGCAGCGGC